UACAGAGGUCUCAAGCGUUGUUCGGAUUCAUUGGGCGUAAAGGGUGCGUAGGCGGCGCGGUAAGUCGGGUGUGAAAUCUCGGAGCUUAACUCCGAAACUGCAUUCGAUACUGCCGUGCUUGAGGACUGGAGAGGAGACUGGAAUUUACGGUGUAGCGGUGAAAUGCGUAGAUAUCGUAAGGAAGACCAGUGGCGAAAGGCGGGGUCUCUGGACAGUUCCUGACGUGAGGCACGAAGGUCAGGGGGAGCAAACGGG
rnacentral:rRNA from 1 species